rnacentral:rRNA from 1 species
UAAUACGAAGGGGGCUAGCGUUGUUCGGAAUUACUGGGCGUAAAGCGUACGUAGGCGGAUUGUUAAGUGAGGGGUGAAAUCCCGAGGCUCAACCUCGGAACUGCCUUUCAUACUGGCAAUCUUGAGUCCGGGAGAGGUGAGUGGAAUUCCUAGUGUAGAGGUGAAAUUCGUAGAUAUUAGGAAGAACACCAGUGGCGAAGGCGGCUCACUGGCCCGGAACUGACGCUGAGGUACGAAAGCGUGGGGAGCAAACAGGAUUAGAUACCCUGGUAGUCCACGCCGUAAACGAUGGAUGCUAGCCGUCGGGGAGCUUGCUCUUCGGUGGCGCAGCUAACGCAUUAAGCAUCCCGCCUGGGGAGUACGGUCGCAAGAUUAAAACUCAAAUGAAUUGACGG